rnacentral:rRNA from 1 species
AGAGUUUGAUCCUGGCUCAGGACGAACGCUGGCGGCGUGCUUAACACAUGCAAGUCGAGCGGAAAGGCCCUUCGGGGUACUCGAGCGGCGAACGGGUGAGUAACACGUGAGUAAUCUGCCCCUAGCUCUGGGAUAGCUCCGGGAAACCGGGAUUAAUACCGGAUACGACCACUCUAGACAUCUUCUGUGGUGGAAAGAAU